ensembl:lncRNA
CCCGCCGAUAUCGGAAGGCCACAAUAGCCCUGCAAUGCCAGUUGCAUAACCUGGAGGCCAUGAAAACGGAAAUGGACGUCUCAGACAAUCAACUGGAGAGGUGGAUCAUUGAUAUCAAUGAGUGGGCAGAAGCAACAACAUCCCCAAAUGAUGCUGAUGUUGCCGCUGUUGCCAGCCGAAUUGAGGAGCUGGUGGCAAGUGUUAAGAGGAGGUCCCAGCGUCUUUACAAGGAUAGUGACGGAUGCAAAGGACGUGCCCGAAUCCGCCGAAAGAUCAGGGAGGAAAAAAAAAUCUUAAAUUCUGUAGUGGAAAAGUACAACACCUUGGUUCCUAAUGCAGAAAAACUGUCAUUGGACACCAUUCUAUCUGACGAGAUUGUUUGGCCAUGGCAGCUUACACACGGUGACUCUGUUGAUCUAAGGACAAAGAGGAAGGCAUUCGACAUUGUGAUGGCAGUAAGGAGACUUGAGGAGGAGAAGAGGAUUCUUAUUGCAGAGAUGAACAAGCAUUGGAAGUCUCUUUGCUCCCGUGCAGACACCCUGAAGCAGAUGUCAUCCAAGCUUUCUAAUGUGACAUCAGGUGAGACUUGGGGCCUGCUUCAAGAUGGUAUCCGAGGUCUACAAAGCUUGACGAUGAAGAACAAGCGAGCAAGCAACAGCCUGGCAAAGCAUGCAAAGAAAUAUUAUGUUCAAGUUCUGACUGAAACAGAAAUUAACUUUGAUAGUGAUUCUGAGGAAUACCAUACCAGUAGUGACUCUGAGCAAGAUUAAACAUGGCCAGAGUCCUUUUUAUGCUGUUGUGUGCUGGGGAGGCAGCAUUAAAGAAGAGGGCCGCUGGGACAGGUUGUUAAGGAAAGCUGGCUCUGUGUUUGGCAUGGAGCUGGAGUUAAUUAUUUAACAAACUGAGGAUAAUUUGCAGUAGCAGUCUUCUGUCAUGCUCAACAUUGAGGAGGUCCUUUGUCCCCAGGGCAUACCAGCAACUCAAUGUCACAGAAAAGGUUAGGGGAGAAAUUGACUUUUCAGCAUGAGUCUCACCCUGCGCCAACCAUUACAUCGCUUUGUCUAUUGUCUAGUAUCCACUAUCCAUUUGACUGUCUUACAGGCUACAUUAGCCCCUCUACACAUUCUGAACUGUGGUUUCAACAUUUACCCCUGUUGGCUUGUAUAAUCUUUUUUCUUUUUUAUAUAUAUAUUUAAGUUUCUGUUUUUCUAUCUAUUUUAACUUCUUUGUAUUGUUUUUGUUAAGCAAUACUAUUAUGCUCAGACUCUUUUUUCCAUAGUCAUAUUAAACAUGCACAGCUUUGCACUGAUUAAAUCCCUGCACUGUUUACUUUUGCACUACCACCACUGCAAAUCACUCUAUAGUUGCCCAUCAUGUAUCACAGGGUCAGUCCCUACCAGGCCUUUGUAAUCACUUGACAUGCUCUUCACUUUUUACAUUUGUGAUUUUUGUUAUGUGUCUGAGUUGUGUGUUGUUUUUGUGGUUGUAUAAGCUAAUAAAUGCCUAAAAUGUGGUGUGUCGUCUUAAGUAGCCUACUGUGUCUGUACUAGGGGGAAGAAGACAUUUCAUCAUGACAGUUUCCUCCAUCUCCUAGAGACAUCUUACAUGGAUACACAGAUAACAUUUAUUCACGAGAUCAUAUAUUUUGUAUGUAUUUGUUUUAAUGUUAUUAUUUCUGUCUUAUUGCCAGGGAAGCUGGAUUGCUUUGUUUAUUGAUAUUUUUAAAACUACAAUGCUACAUCUAUCAACAUUUAUUUAGAUGUUAUCAUGGUAUUCAUUACAUUAUUUUAAUAAUAUAAUUUCAGUCUUAUUAUUGGUGAAACAUUACAGUAUGCUGUAAGACAGAACACUACAAUGUGGGCCGAGUGGGUCACAUGCGAAUCCCCUAUCCCACAAUGCAGGUCAGGGGGUCUUUAACGCCAGUAUAGCUUCAAUGUACAUAUUUAAUCAGUGGUUUUGUCACCAGCAACAACACUUUGCUCAGUUUUGAACUUUUUGAGUGUAGUUGAAGCCCAUUCACAGCAGACAGCAGUCCACCCACCCAGCCCGGAAGAACUACAAGUAACACUAGCUUUGUAACUGUUCUGUGGUGUGUCUCUAGUGGAAGUUGUAGUUUUAAAAUGUAGUGGUAUAUUUCUCAUAAGUAGAAGUUGGCAGUGUAGAAUUUUGGAUAUACCCUGUUUUUGGGAUGGGGAACACACUGAUGUCAACAGAUUUUAAAAAUUGAAUAGUUAAAUAGGUCAAAAUAGCUUAUUACCAUAUUUGACAGUGUUUACAGUGGUUAAACAUUGGAGACCAUAUCUGCAUGACAGCUAAGGUCCAGAGCUUUCUAUAACAGCAGGUCCUUUGUGUGUGGCACCUUCUGUUGCUAAAUGGCAAGCCUUCAAACAUGUACUGGGUUCAAGGUUCAGAGCAGAGGUCAAUAAUUCAAAUCAGGGUAAUGUAUCCUCUUCAGACUGACAUAUGUUACUGUCGAGGUUGAGACCUUUCCAAUGAUGUGCUUGCUAUAGUCCUACGACAACGUUUUAAUUUUUACAUAUCAUGAAGACCACUUUGCAGGUGAUAGCCUCCUUUAUUGUCCCCAGAGGGAUAUUUGCCUUGAGUUCAAAUGCUUCACACAUAAGACUUAACAUAUUAUUUUAUCAUACAUCCGACAUAUACUUACAAUAAAAAAUAACAUAAACAAAGUGAUAUGUAGCCAGAGUGAAGCGCAUCAAAGCCACAGUCUAUUGCUCAUCUUUCAACCUACACACAACCCUAUAUGCAUUAUAUCAUUAAGCAAUUGCACAACCGCUGCAGCCUCAAGCAACAUUAUUUAAAAAUUUUUAAUUGAGGUAGGUUUAAAUUAGGCCUAUAGUUUAGACAUAUUUAGUUUACAUUUGGGUCCCCUAUAUCUUAUGCCUGAGGAUAAGAGCUCAUACUUGGCAUGGAGAAUAAAGAUAGAGUUAGGGUUAGGGUUAGAAUAAGUGGGGACUGAGUGUAUUUCAUGAAUAAUGCAACAUUUUCCUAAAAAAUUAAGACCAGAGGCCUUUGAUCAUGAAGACAUUGGCCAGAUUAAACAGCACAUCAGGCCACAUGUGGCCCACAUUGCACAACCAGGCCUUAGAUUUCCUACCACUGUCAUAGGCCUUAGUAAACCGCCCACAGUCAAGUCAUUCCAGGGUGACCAGAUUGAUGUCCUCAGUGUCCUGGCACGUUCCCUAUUGUCAGGGAAACAUAGGAAACCUACCUCUCCCUGGUUUUAUGACAAGAAAAACAUUAGACUUUUUAAAUUAUAUUGAUGGCCAAGCUGGAAUUGUUCCUGGCUUUAACGAUUUCUCAGGCUCAUGUCUCCGGUCUUUCUGAUCUCUGAAGUCUGAUCACCUUAUGUCAUGCACAUACUGUAUGUUGAUUGUUGACACAGAGGAUGAGGAAAUUAUUUGUGAAAUUUGACACCAAUCUGUCUUUGUAUGAGGCAAAGGAUAUGAAAAAAUGGCCUGAGUGGCGCUUCAGACGCUGUUUGAUUUCAAUUCACUUUCAUAUUUUUUGUCAUAGUUCUUUCCUGACCUGAAAAAUCAUUGCUGACCCAUGUACCAUUGAUGAAAAUUGAUAAAUGUGCCUCUUCUCUUCAUUGGGAAUGUUUGAAAUGUCUUAAGAACUCUCAUAAUUGUUCUGAACAGACAACCAUGAUAACAAAAACAAAGUGUUGUGUGCUAGCGAUCAGAGGUAAAAAAGGAUUCAGUAAUACAUCCUGAUGCGGGAGGCAUCUGUCACCAGGGAUAGGAGCCCAUUUACUUUGCUCCAAAAUUACCAUCAAUACUAACUAAAAUUUUCAUGAUCAGUUAGUAUAAUGCCAAUUUGGUACUUGUUCUGGUUGCCUUGGGUUUUGGCUUGCUUAGUUGCUUAGUUUGGCUUGCUAAUCUGCCUUAAGGUGGACGAGGAUUUAAUUUUCUUCUAGAAAGAAACUUUGUUGUAUUAUUUUCAUGUUAUCACUGUGAAGCUGCUUUGAAACAAUCUGUAUUAUAAAAAAAGUGCUAUAUAAAUAAAAGGUGACUUGACUUGACUGUCACUACAUGCAACUUUCAGCUAUUUAACUUUUCCAAAUACAGCACAAAGUCAUGACACAUUAAUUAUUCAGUGCAGUCAUUGAUUGACAGACAAAUCAUAAAAUGUAACAAUAGUGAAUUUAAUUAUUGACAAAUAUAUACAAAACAAAUAGUACAACAGUAUUGGUCAUCAGGCGAAUUUGCUGGCCGGCUCCCAGGUGUCCUCCCAGACUCUGCCACUGUAAAUAGUCCAAAAGUCAUCUUACACACAGCAUAUACAGUACAGCCUACAGCUCACAACUAGUCUUCUGGCUCAAGUUUGAAGAUAUGUCAUCUGAAGCUGAAAAAUAAAGGUUUACCCUUUUUCUGUUGGAUAAUUUCUUUUGGUUUAUUUUAUAUGGCGUUUGUCAAGCAGCAGUCAUUUUGUUCCAUGUGAAAAGUACUGGACUCAGUCGCUUGGACACAGUCAUCCCUACAGUCAACACUUUGAAGUUCUGCAUCGGGUUAACCGUGUCGCUAUGCAAAUACUCACCACAACGGGAUGGGCACAGAAAUGAUGUGGUUAAAGGCCUCUAUGUCGGCCGCAGAGGGGGUCAGCAAAGAUGCAAUGGCACAACAAAGGCAUCUGCGUCGCAUCUACAUGUAACUAUGAAUUGGGCUUAAGACCCCAUCAGAGCUGAAGUGGACUAGAAAGUGAUCUGCAUCAUCUUUAAGUGAACUCAUAAUGUGAACACAAAGAGACAAGAGUUGUUUUUGGUUCAGUCCACCUCACAGGCCAUUUAAAUUGGUCUACAUUUGGUUCAUAAUGGGAGGUUUCACUUUGUAAAAAUAACUGCUGUUUGGCAAACACUGUAUAAAAUAACACAAAUAAACAAAAUAGAAUUAGCAAAUGUAUAGGGCAAACAGGUUAGAAUGUAUUUGCUUCAGAUGUCAUAUGAUCAAACUUGAGCCAGAUGACUACUUGAAGGCUGGUGUGCCCAUGUUCUCAUGCGGUCUCAGUUCAGUUCACUUUAAAAGGGAUCCGAGAAUGCUUAGAUAGUUCCUUGUGCCCAAAACAAUUAUCAGUCCCACUUUCACUUUCACUUCAAAGUUCACUUUGAAGGCUGAAAGGGACCAGGUUUUAAAACACUAAGACUGUGUGGAGCUAUGGAUUAAAUUACAUCAGCCAUCACUUACCAGGAAGAGCAAGGUAGCCAGUGCACUUUGACCUCUGCUGCCUUCCCCUGCAGAAACAUGCACACACACACACACACACACACACACACACACACACACACACACACACACACACACACACACACACACACACACACACACACACACACACACACACACACACACAGACACACACACUUAAUCAGGUUAGUGAACUGUAAUGAUUUUACCAUUCAAAUAAUGUUUUUACUUAGCUCUCUAUACUGGCGUUCUUACUUGGAACAUCAUUUAGUUGACAAGAGUACUUAUGUAUUUUUUGUAAGCUCAAUAAAAAAUAAGAAUAUGUUGCAUUCCAUUUGCACUGUUGUUUUUGUUUAGGAUUUACAGUAUGUCCCUUACGAAAAAGAAGUUAAUUCAAGUUUUCUAUUAGUAUACUUUUUAAACAAACAAUAAGAAAGUAUACUUUAAGUCUAAAUUUUAUCAUUCUCAAAAACAUACUUUAUGUACUUCGUAGAAAUACAAUUAAUUACACUUAAGUGUACUUGACUUAUACUGAGA